GGGGAGGAGCCUGCAACUGAGCCUCUCUCCGAUAGGUACAUUCCUGGCUCCCUGUGGCUAGUGCUUCUGAUCCAGCUGCUCAAAGACUCGAUAGAGUGUGAGGAUACCCACGGAUUGCUUGAUGAUAAUAAUGAAAACAACAGCUGAGUAUUGUUUUCAAUUCUGGAAAAGAUUUGGACAAGUCAACAGCAAUCAUAACGCUGCUCCAUACCCCCUGACUGGGAUGGACGGUGCU